rnacentral:rRNA from 1 species
UACGUAGGUGGCAAGCGUUGUCCGGAUUUAUUGGGUUUAAAGGGUGCGUAGGCGGCAUUUUAAGUCAGUGGUGAAAUACUUCAGCUUAACUGGAGAGGUGCCGUUGAUACUGGGAUGCUUGAGUACUGAUGAGGUAGGCGGAAUGGACGGUGUAGCGGUGAAAUGCGUAGAUAUCUGGAGGAACACCGGUGGCGAAGGCGGCAUCCUGGACCAACACUGACACUGAGGAGCGAAAGCCAGGGGAUCAAACGGG